UAAGACGGAGGGGACUAGCGUUGUUCGGAAUAACUGGGCGUAAAGGGUGCGUAGGCGGUUCUUUAAGUAAGGCGUGAAAGCCCUGGGCUUAACCCAGGAACUGCGCUUUAAACUAAAAAACUAGAGGAUGGAAGAGGAAAGCGGAAUUCCUAGUGUAGAAGUGAAAUUCGUAGAGAUUAGGAGGAACAUCAGAGGCGAAGGCGGCUUUCUGGUCCAUAUCUGACGCUGAGGCACGAUAGCGUGGGGAGCAAACAGG
rnacentral:rRNA from 1 species